GAUGAACGCUGGCGGCGUGCCUAAUACAUGCAAGUCGAGCGAACGGACGAGAAUCUUGCUUCUCUGAUGUUAGCGGCGGACGGGUGAGUAACACGUGUAUAACCUCCCUAUAAGACUGGGAUAACUUCGGGAAACCGUAUCUAAUACCGGAUAAUAUUUUGCACCGCAUGGUUCAAAAGUGAAAGACGGUCUUGCUGUCACUUAUAGAUGGAUCUGCGCUGGAUUAGCUAGUUGUUAAGGUACCGGCCUAUCAAGGCAACGAUGCCUAGCCGACCUGAGAGGGUGAUCAGCCACACUGGAACUGAGACACGGUCCAGACUCCUACGGGAGGCAGCAGUAGGGAAUCUUCCGCAAUGGGCGAAAGCCUGACGGAGAAACGCCGCGGGAGUGAUGAAGGUCUUCGGAUCGGAAAACUCUGUUAUUAGGGAAGAACAUAUGUGUAAGUAACUGUGCACAUCUUGACGGUAACUGAUCAGAAAGCCACGGCUAACUACGUG
rnacentral:rRNA from 1 species